UACAGAGGGUGCGAGCGUUGUCCGGAAUCACUGGGCGUAAAGGGCGCGUAGGCGGUCUGCUAAGCGUGUGGUGAAAGCCCGGGGCUCAACCCCGGGUCGGCCGUGCGAACUGGCGGACUGGAGCUUGUCAGAGGCAGGCGGAAUUCCGGGUGUAGCGGUGAAAUGCGUAGAUAUCUGGAGGAACACCGGUGGCGAAGGCGGCAUCCUGGACCAUUACUGACGCUGAGGAGCGAAAGCCAGGGGAGCAAACGGG
rnacentral:rRNA from 1 species